rnacentral:rRNA from 1 species
GACGAACGCUGGCGGCGUGCUUAACACAUGCAAGUCGAACAGAAAGGCCCUGCUUUUGUGGGGUGCUCGAGUGGCGAACGGGUGAGUAACACGUGAGUAACCUGCCCUUGACUUUGGGAUAACUUCAGGAAACUGGGGCUAAUACCGGAUAGGAGCUCCUGCUGCAUGGUGGGGGUUGGAAAGUUUCGGCGGUUGGGGAUGGACUCGCGGCUUAUCAGCUUGUUGGUGGGGUAGUGGCUUACCAAGGCUUUGACGGGUAGCCGGCCUGAGAGGGUGACCGGCCACAUUGGGACUGAGAUACGUCCCAGACUCCUACGGGAGGCAGCAGUGGGGAAUAUUGCACAAUGGGCGGAAGCCUGAUGCAGCAACGCCGCGUGCGGGAUGACGGCCUUCGGGUUGUAAACCGCUUUCGCCUGUGACGAAGCGUGAGUGACGGUAAUGGGUAAAGAAGCACCGGCUAACUACGUG